UGUGUUGUGGCUCAGUGGUAGUGCGCUUGCCUACUAUGUGCAAGAAGAGUCUGGGUUUGAUUCUCAGCACCAGAU
rfam:Ictidomys tridecemlineatus contig000406, whole genome shotgun sequence.